rnacentral:lncRNA from 1 species
GAGAGAAACAUGGUUCCAGAAGGGGGAGAAAUGAUAUGGAAAAGAUGUGAACCCAAGCCACAGACUGAGUCAAGUCUGGUUAACCUUAGACACAUCCACCAGAAGCAUAAUCUCCAGCAAACCAGUGACUGAGAAAUAAAUACUUGUUUUAAGAACCCACUAAAUUUGGGGGUUGCUUGCUACACAUUAUUAUUAUGACAAUAGCUGGAUAAGGAAGCAUCAGAAAGCCCUGGCAAACUGGCGGUCAUACUCUUCUCUAAAUGAGCCAACACUCCCUAGGAGACCUCAGUAGAACUCCCUCUUCUCUGCUGGAAAGGUUUUGCCUCCCCAGGACCCAUCCCUCACCAUCCAUGCAUGACAUUCUGGCCUCAAGUAUCCACUCCUCAAAGGAAAAGAAAUUGGAGAGAUUCGCCUUGAAAAUAAGCCUUCAUAUUAGUGACUUCCUUCUUUUAAAGGACAUCGAACAAGUUUUAGAUGGGAUCUCUCUAUGUUGUCCAGGCUGGUCUCAAAUUCUUGGGCUCAAGAGAUCCUCGUGCCUCAGCCUCCCAAAGUGCUGAGAUGGUUAUACCAGGUGAGAUGUGAGUCACCAAACCCAGCCACCAAUGACUUUUAAAUUGUAGACUUCAAAAUAAUUGUUCAUCAACUUUGGUCAUUUAUAAC